UACGAAGGGGGCUAGCGUUGCUCGGAAUCACUGGGCGUAAAGGGUGCGUAGGCGGGUCUUUAAGUCAGGGGUGAAAUCCUGGAGCUCAACUCCAGAACUGCCUUUGAUACUGGCGAUCUCGAGUCCGGGAGAGGUGAGUGGAACUGCGAGUGUAGAGGUGAAAUUCGUAGAUAUUCGCAAGAACACCAGUGGCGAAGGCGGCUCACUGGCCCGGAACUGACGCUGAGGUGCGAAAGCGUGGGGAGCAAACAGG
rnacentral:rRNA from 1 species